AGAGUUUGAUCCUGGCUCAGGAUGAACGCUGGCGGCGUGCUUAACACAUGCAAGUCGAACGGAGUUUAUACGGAAGGAGUCUUCGGACAACGGAAGUAUAAACUUAGUGGCGGACGGGUGAGUAACGCGUGGGUAACCUGCCUUAUACAAGGGGAUAACAGAGGGAAACUUCUGCUAAUACCGUAUAAAAAUAUUUCACGCAUGUGAGAUAUUUGAAAGAUUUAUCAGUAUGAGAUGGACCCGCGUCUGAUUAGGUAGUUGGUGAGGUAGAGGCUCACCAAGCCGACGAUCGGUAGCCGAUCUGAGAGGAUGACCGGCCACAUUGGGACUGAGACACGGCCCAAACUCCUACGGGAGGCAGCAGUGGGGAAUAUUGGACAAUGGGGGAAACCCUGAUCCAGCGACGCCGCGUGAGUGAAGAAGUAUUUCGGUAUGUAAAGCUCUAUCAGCAGGGAAGAAAAUGACGGUACCUGACUAAGAAGCCCCGGCUAACUACGUGCCAGCAGCCGCGGUAAUACGUAGGGGGCAAGCGUUAUCCGGAUUUACUGGGUGUAAAGGGAGCGCAGACGGCAAUGCAAGUCUGAAGUGAAAGGCGUGGGCUCAACCCAUGAACUGCUUUGGAAACUGUAUAGCUUGAGUGUCGGAGGGGUAAGCGGAAUUCCUAGUGUAGCGGUGAAAUGCGUAGAUAUUAGGAGGAACACCGGAGGCGAAGGCGGCUUACUGGACGACAACUGACGUUGAGGCUCGAAGGCGUGGGGAGCAAACAGGAUUAGAUACCCUGGUAGUCCACGCAGUAAACGAUGAAUACUUGGUGUCGGGGAGGUAAACUCUUCGGUGCCGCAAGCUAACGCAUUAAGUAUUCCACCUGGGGAGUACGUUCGCAAGAAUGAAACUCAAAGGAAUUGACGGGGACCCGCACAAGCGGUGGAGCAUGUGGUUUAA
rnacentral:rRNA from 1 species